CAAUUUUGAGGUAUAAGGUUCAAUAUCAUCCAAUUGAUGAAGAUUUGAUAGGCGAAGUCACGAUUUGAAAGGGAAUCAUCAAUUUCAGUUUGUAGAUGUCUACUUCAUCUUCUCAUGGAUUGAGGUACCCUCUAUGUGGAGCUGAAAUGAAAUUACUUCUAUCAACUACAAAACAACAUUACAACAAAUAUUUCUGGAAGUGUACAAGGAAAUAUGUAACGCAUGAUUUUGAAUUAGUUUUAUUUUAUAAUAUGGAUGUUGUGGUUAUGCAAAGUGGAUGUAUGAUGUACGAAGGUGCUGGAUGCAAAGGUUUCGUAUGGUGUGAUGAUGUUGACAAAACAAAAGAGAGGGAAGAUAUAAUCUUUAGAGACUCACAACGGAUAGAAAACGAUGGUAGCUAUGACGAGUUGUUUCAAUCUAUGCAACUACAAGUUGGAGAUGUUUUGAAUCUGUUGAAAGAAAUAAAAGAGAUGUUGUUGAUUAUUUGUAUCUUGAUUACUAUCAAUGUGGUUUUCAAUUUAGUUAAAAAAUGAAGUGCUUAGAUGGUGCUUCAAUUUGGGUAAAGACAUGUUUUUGUUGCUCAAACAUUUUGGUUGUAACAUUGUGAUCAAAAUUUGGGGAAAGACAUGUCUCAGAGGUUGUAAAUUUCUAGUCAUGAAAUGAAAACAUUCAGCUCUUGUUUUGGUUCUUA